CCUACGGAGGCAGCAGUGAGGAAUAUUGGUCAAUGGGCGCGAGCCUGAACCAGCCAAGUAGCGUGAAGGAUGACUGCCCUACGGGUUGUAAACUUCUUUUAUAAAGGAAUAACGUGAGGCACGUGUGCCUUUUUGUAUGUACUUUAUGAAUAAGGAUCGGCUAACCCCGUGCCAGCAGCCGCGGUAAUACGGAGGAUGAGAGCGUUAUCCGGAUUGAUUGGUUGUAAAGGGUGCGUAGGCGGAUGUUUAAGUCAGCGGUAAAGUGUACGGGCUCACCCCGGGCCGGCCGUUGAAACUGGGUAUCUUGAGUGGGCGAGAAGUAUGCGGAAUGCGUGGUGUAGCAGUGAAAUGCAUAGAUAUCACGCAGAACUCCGAUUGCUAAGGCAGCAUACCGGCGCCCGACUGACGCUGAGGCACGAAAGCGUGGGGAUCGAACAGGAUUAGAUACCCCAGUAGUC
rnacentral:rRNA from 1 species